GGCUGGUCCAAUGGUAGUGGGUUAUCAGAACUUAUUAACAUUAAUAUCACUAAAGUUGGUAUACAACCCCCCACUGCUAAAUUUGACUGGCUAAAA
rnacentral:Y_RNA from 1 species